rnacentral:rRNA from 1 species
UGGGGAAUCUUGGGCAAUGGGCGAAAGCCUGACCCAGCGACGCCGCGUGGGGGAUGAAGGCCCUCGGGUUGUAAACCCCUUUCAGCGGGGACGAAGCGAAAGUGACGGUACCCGCAGAAGAAGCCCCGGCUAACUACGUGCCAGCAGCCGCGGUAAGACGUAGGGGGCGAGCGUUGUCCGGAUUUAUUGGGCGUAAAGCGCGCGCAGGCGGCCCGUUAAGUCGGUUGUGAAAACCCGAGGCUCAACCUCGGGCCUGCAUCCGAUACUGGCGGGCUUGAGGCAGGUAGGGGAGAGUGGAAUUCCCGGUGUAGCGGUGAAAUGCGCAGAUAUCGGGAGGAACACCGGUGGCGAAGGCGGCUCUCUGGGCCUGUCCUGACGCUCAGGCGCGAAAGCUGGGGGAGCAAACAGG